rnacentral:rRNA from 2 species
AAUAGCCUAACGGCUGAACCAGCAAUUUGGAAGAAUGUAUAGCAAUAGCUGAUUGCACCAACAAAUAGUUGAUGCAAAAUUGAUUAUAUCAAAUAAAAUUCUAGGUAGAUUUUUGAUAAUGACAUUGCUUACCUAAGUCUUGACCAAAUUACGUGCCAGCAGUCGCGGUAAUACGUAAAAGACUAGUGUUAUUCAUCUUUAAUUGGUUUAAAGGGUACCUAGACAGCGAAUAAAGCCAUAGUAGGGACUAAUUCGCUAGAGUUACUUAUGAGGGGGUAUUAAAGUACUGCAGGUGUAGAGAUGAAAUUUUGUUAUACCUCUUCUCGUAUGAGAAACUAUGGCACAGGUAUAGGUGAAAGCAUCCCCUUAUGUGAUAACUGACGUUGAGGGACGAAGGCUUUGUGUCGCGAACAGGAUUAGAUACCCCAAUAGUCAAAGCAGAAAAUGAUGAAUGUCAUAGAUUAGAUAUGCAAUUUAUUCUAUAAAUGAAAGUGUAAGCAUUCCACCUCAAGAGUAAUUUGGCAACAUUGGAACUGAAAUCAUUAGACCGUUUCUGAAACCAGUAGUGAAGUAUGUUGUUUAAUUUGAUGAUACGCAAAAAACCUUACCACAAUUUGAAUAUUUAUAUAUAUCUUUUAUUGAUUUCUACUAACAUAUUUGUAGACAAUUAAAAUGAUGCCUCUGUCCCGUUUGUGAGACUAAGCAUCAAAAAAGAUAAUAUAUUUACAAGCGUUGCACGGCUGUCUUCAGUUAAUGUCGCGAGAUUUUGGUUAGUUCCAUUAAAUUAACGUAAACCCUUACUUUAUUUAUAUAUAAAGUAGUUCUCCGCUAUAUUGGAUAUGAUAACAGGGACUAAGACAAGUCAUCAUGGCCUAAAUAUUGUGGGCUAUAGACGUGCCACAUAAACCUUACAAAAGGAUGUGAAAUUGUGAAAUUGAGCUAAUCCUCCAAAAAUGGAUAAACAUUUAAU